rnacentral:rRNA from 1 species
UACGUAGGCAGCAAGCGUUGUUCGGAAUUACUGGGCGUAAAGGGCUCGUAGGCGGCCAACUAAGUCAGACGUGAAAUCCCCAGGCUCAACCUGGGAACUGCGUCUGAUACUGGUUGGCUUGAAUCCGGGAGAGGGAUGCAGAAUUCCAGGUGUAGCGGUGAAAUGCGUAGAUAUCUGGAGGAAUACCGGUGGCGAAGGCGGCAUCCUGGACCGGCAUUGACGCUGAGGAGCGAAAGCCAGGGGAGCAAACGGG